rnacentral:rRNA from 1 species
UACGUAGGUGGCAAGCGUUGUCCGGAUUUAUUAGGUUUAAAGGGUGCGUAGGCGGCCCUGUAAGUCAGUUGUGAAAUACGGCAGCUUAACUGUCGAGGUGCAAUUGAUACUGCAGGGCUUGAGUACUGAUGAGGUAGGCGGAAUGGACGGUGUAGCGGUGAAAUGCUUAGAGAUCGUCCAGAACACCGAUAGCGAAGGCAGCUUACUAAGGAGUAACUGACGCUGAGGCACGAAAGUGUGGGGAUCAAACAGG